rnacentral:rRNA from 1 species
AGACUAAGAAAAUUUUAUGGGUGUACCUUUUGUAUCAGGGAAAUUUAAAAAUGUAAAAAUUAUGUAGUCGAUUUUACCAGGUCUUGUUGUACAAGCAGUGGUGGCAAUUAGUGUUUUUAAAAAUCAAGAGGUGAAAAGUGUACGGUGGUGAUGGUAUCUAAUUGUCGUGUAAAUUUUAAAAAGUCAAGCUUUUAAAUGUUUAUGGUGGAGAGUUUAGUAGGAAAACUAGGCUUUAGAUUAGCUUUGCUAGUAUAUUGUUUUAAAUAAUUUUGGGCCCGAUAAUUGGAGUAAAGUUGUACAGACAGUUUUAGUAAAUAGUAACUAGUGUCUACGAUGAAUUUAUUGAAUAAAAAACGAAAUUUAAAAUUAACUAGCAGUAAAGUAGAAUGUUUAACAAAAACAUUUCUGUCAGGUUAAAAAAAAGUAAGGCCUGCCCAGUGAAAGUUAAAUGGCUGCGGUAUUUUAACUGUGCUAAGGUAGCAUAAUCAUUUGCUUCUUAAUUGGUAGCUGGAAUGAAAGGUUAAACUAUUUUAUUCAGUUUGUAUAGUUUUACAGUAAAUUAAAGUAAAGGUAAUAAUUCCUUUAUAUUCUAGGGGACGAUAAGACCCUAGAAGUUUGACAAAUAGACUCGGUUUUAGUAGUAAAGUUUAGUUUGUUUUGCUGGGGCGGUGUUGAUAUUUAAGCUAUUAUAAUGUUGAAAGAUCAUUUAUAUAAAGAUAAGACGGGUAAAUUACUCUAGGGAUAACAGUAUAAUAUUUUUGGAGAGAUCUUAUCGAUAAGUGUGUUUGUAACCUCGAUGUUGAAUUAAGAUAUCUACGUAGGGUAGCUGUUAUAGUAGAGGGUUUGUUCAACC